UGGGAAUUGGGGGAAUCCCCCUGCUUUCACUCUCCCAGCCCGCCAUGGGGUUGGGCCUUGUCCUUUGCCUUGGGUUUGAAGGCGGAGACACAAAAGGCUGUCCAAAAUCCAGCCAGCUUGGGAGGCAUGGUUGAUGCGAGUUAGCAAAGAUUCUCGACUGCGGUUGGCAAGGCCCCCAGUGGCCAAGGCAUGAGCCUGGAUGCCCUGCAAAUUGAGUAUGUGUUAGGGAUGGGGGCCAUUCUUUAUAGUUUGACUCUGGAGAGCUAGGACCACCUUUCCCAGCCUUAGGGGUGCACAUCCUCAGGAGCUGCCUACCUCCAGAUAUUGUAAGUCCAUGCAGAAGAGGAAGGGCCCAGCUGGGGCACCUCUUGGUUGAGGAAUGAGUAUGUGACAUUUUCA
rnacentral:lncRNA from 1 species